UAGCAUAUCAAUAAGCGGUGGAAAAGAAACCAACAGGGAUUCCCUUAGUAACGGCGAGCGAACAGGGAAGAGCCCAGUAUGAAAAUCUCCAGCCUUUGGCUGGCGAAUUGUAGUCUGGAGGAGCGCUCCCUGGGUGGGUGCUGGCCGAAGUAUACUGGAAGGUAUCGCUAUAGAGGGUGAGAGCCCCGUAGGCCAGUUAACCCGUCCUUCACGGGACGCUUUCAAAGAGUCGCGUUGUUUGGGAAUACAGCGCUAAUUGGGUGGUAAACCCCAUCUAAGGCUAAAUAUCAAUGGGAGACCGAUAGCGAAAAAGUACCUCGAGGGAACGAUGAAAAGACCGCUGGCAAGCGAGUAAAAGAGUGCAUGAAAUUGUGUAGCGGGAAGGGAUGGCCUGGUAGCAUGCGCCCGGGUUGAUGUGGUUCGCAAGAGCUGCUGUCUGCACUGGGUGCUGGCUGGUACCGGCGCCCUUGGCCGUACAAUACUCUGCUGAGGUGCAGAGCACUGCGGGCGAGGGUGCCGAGGCUGAUCAGUUGCUUUGCCCCUUCGGGGAGCUGCUCUGACAGGGUACCAGCUGAWACCUGUCCAUCUGCCCGUG
rnacentral:rRNA from 1 species